rnacentral:lncRNA from 1 species
GCUCUUUUAAUAGCCACAGGAAGAAUUAGUUAAAAAUUGACUUUGAAUGUAAUUCAUUUGCUACAAAGUGGUCUUUCACCCCCUGCUCUUCUCUUCUACUGACAUCCACAUUUUCCUUUCUAGUCCUUUGUUAAAAAAUGAACUGCACAGCAAAAGCAUGUGAGGAGAAGGCUUUCUGCACACCAUCAGGCACACUAUGGUGUUCCCAGCACUGUGCUAUUAAUGCAUCACUCUCGUCCUGAGCUGGAUGUAGAGGGAGAGAUAGUUAAGAGGAACAGCUGGCUAAGGAGGUCCCAGGGAUGAGCACCCAGGGACCCUUACCUGGAAAGAAGAAAGCAACAGCUUUCAUCAUGUCUGGUCUCCUCUUGGCUCCCUGCACUCAGCUCCCAGUGAUCAGCUUGUGGCUGGACAUGCUACUUACUGCUGUGUCACUGAACACAAACCCAGCAGAGAAAAAUUACGAUCCAGACUCUGUGAAAGAAAUGUCAAGUUUAAAAAGUUAUUAACACAGGAAGUUUACCAAGUAUGGUCUGGAUGUCACACAGAUGCCAAAAGGAAUAUUUCUAUAUGGAAAAGAUCACCUAGCUGGACUGAAGUGAGUCAGAACUCAUGAUAAAUCUAUCUUUUCUCAUAACAACCACAAGUCAGAAACACCUAAUUCAGUCCCCCAAUCUCAACGCAGUGACAAUCUCAAAGUGACAGCCUCAAAGCAAUUUCUUCUUUUUUUCUUUUUUUUUUUUGUCCCUGAUUAAAAGCCUAUUUCAAAUGGUACAGAUUCUAGGUUGGUUAUUUUUUUGUCUCAACAUUUUAAACAUUUUGUACUACUCUCUUACUUGCAGUUUUUGAGGAAAAGUAGGAUGUAACACUCUUUCGGAGAAGGCGAUGGCACCUCACUCCAGUACUCUUGCCUGGAAAAUCCCAUGGACAGAGGAGCCUGGUGGGCUGCUGUCCAUGGGUCACUAAGAGUCAGACAUGACUGAGUGACUUCACUUUAACUUUUCACUUUCAUGCAUUGGAGAAGGAAAUGGCAACCCACUCCAGUGUUCUUGCCUGGAGAAUCCCAGGGACGGGGGAGCCUGGUGGGCUGCCGUCUAUGGGGUCACACAGAGUCGGACACGACUGAAGUGACUUAGCAGUAGCAACAC